rnacentral:rRNA from 1 species
UACGUAGGGGGCAAGCGUUGUCCGGAAUCAUUGGGCGUAAAGCGCGUGUAGGCGGCCAGAUAAGUCCGCUGUGAAAUCUCGAGGCUCAACUUCGAGCUGUCGGUGGAAACUGUCUGGCUAGAGUCCGGAAGAGGAGAAUGGAAUUCCUGGUGUAGCGGUGAAAUGCGCAGAUAUCAGGAAGAACACCCGUGGCGAAGGCGGUUCUCUGGGACGGUACUGACGCUGAGACGCGAAAGCUAGGGGGAGCGAACAGG